CACAAACUCACGCCAUUUAUUUUGCUUGCAACUUCUUUCUCCCUAUAAAUUUUCAUGGCUUUCUCACUUACAAAUACAAUAACGAAACAAACAAUCCGUUUACCAGCAAUAUAGCAUUUGCACUUCCCCAAUCAAUCUUGGAAAUAUGUCAAAAAAUGGUGCUGUUGUUGGAGAAGGAGAGUCAGUUUUGCGUGAUGAUAUUUCAUUGUGAAGACAAUUGUGUUUCAUAUUUUCUACUUUUUGUAGAACUGUAUGCAUUAAUUCGCGUUUUAUUAUUUAGAGAAUUUCGAUUUCUAGGUCGAAAUUUAAGAUUGGUUUA